rnacentral:rRNA from 1 species
AUUGAACGCUGGCGGCAGGCCUAACACAUGCAAGUCGAACGAGUGGCGGACGGGUGAGUAAUGUCUGGGAAACUGCCCGAUGGAGGGGGUUAACUACUGGAAACGGUAGCUAAUACCGCAUACCUCAGGAUGGGCCCAGAUGGGAUUAGCUAGUAGGUGGGGUAACGGCUCACCUAGGCGACGAUCCCUAGCUGGUCUGAGAGGAUGACCGGCCACGCUGGAACUGAGACACGGUCCAGACUCCUACGGGAGGCAGCAGUGGGGAAUAUUGGACAAUGGGCGCAAGCCUGAUGCAGCCAUGCCGCGUGUAUGAAGAAGGCCUUCGGGUUGUAAAGUACUUUCAGCGAGGAGGCGUUACUCGCAGAAGAAGCACCGGCUAACUCCGUGCCAGCAGCCGCGGUAAUAC